UACGAACCGUCCAAACGUUACUCGGAAUUACUGGGCUUAAAGGGUGCGUAGGCCGCGCGGAGGGUGGGAUGUGAAAUCCCCCGGCUCAACCGGGGAAUAGCGUCCCAAACCGCCGUGCUCGAGGGAGACAGAGGUGAGCGGAACUGAUGGUGGAGCGGUGAAAUGCGUUGAUAUCAUCAGGAACACCAGUGGCGAAAGCGGCUCACUGGGUCUUUCCUAACGCUGAGGCACGAAAGCUAGGGGAGCGAACGGG
rnacentral:rRNA from 1 species